GCUGGGCAUGGUGGCGCAUGCCUGUAAUCCAGCAGCUCAGGAGGCUGAAGCAGUAGGAUUGUAAGUUCAAAGCCAGCCUCAGCAACUUGGUGAGGCCCUAAGCAACUUAGUGAGACCCUGUCUCAA
rnacentral:sRNA from 1 species